rnacentral:rRNA from 1 species
UACGAAGGGGGCUAGCGUUGCUCGGAAUUACUGGGCGUAAAGGGCGCGUAGGCGGAUACUUAAGUCGGGGGUGAAAGCCCGGGGCUCAACCUCGGAAUUGCCUUCGAUACUGGGUAUCUUGAGUUCGGGAGAGGUGGGUGGAAUGCCGAGUGUAGAGGUGAAAUUCGUAGAUAUUCGGCGGAACACCAGUGGCGAAGGCGACUCACUGGACACAUAUUGACGCUGAGGUGCGAAAGCGUGGGGAGCAAACAGG